GCUAAUGCGGGGCCACCGGAGGCGGUAUUAGGGAGGGGGCUAGCGUUGUGCGGGUGUAGUGGGCGUAAAGCGCGCGUAGGCGGCCAUGCAAGUGAGGCGUGAAAGGCCUGGGCUCAACCUGGGAACUGCGCUUCAGACUGCACUGCUUGAGUCCGGGAGAGGGUGGUGGAAUUCCCAGUGUAGAGGUGAAAUUCGUAGAUAUUGGGAGGAACACCAGUGGCGAAGGCGGCCACCUGGCCCGGUACUGACGCUCAAGUGCGAAAGCGUGGGGAGCAAACAGGAUUAGAUACCCGAGUAGUC
rnacentral:rRNA from 1 species